UGAAAAUAAUGACAGUCCACCUACAUCAUCCUCCGCUGUUUUAACUGUAUAUAAACUUGUGGUGGUUAUUGUUCUUAAUAAAAGAGGCAAAGUAACAUACUAACAUCAAAGAUCAAUAGACAGUGGAAAAUUCGUACAAGAAGAUGAAAACACUUCUAGUUUUGACGACACUUGUGAUAGUAGGACACUGCCUACUGGAAGAUAUUUUGGGGAACGUACCGGAAAAUAAAAGAUCGGUCCUCUCGAGAAGAAGUUACGAAAAUACACUCAACUUGGUGUUUUUAAUGGCUGAUGAUAAUAGGAAUGGUCUUUUGUCAGCUGAAGAAUUGGUUCAAGUUACAAAACCGAAAGACGGUUCGACACCAAUAGAGAAGGCGAGAGAGACUGUUCGACUAUGUGAUACCAAUGAUGAUGGCGAGUUAAGCAAAAAAGAAAUGCUGACAUUCUUGUAUUCCCAAUAGUUUGGACGAUCCAGGAAUGAAUGACGUUAGUUAUUGUUAAAGCUAUAUGAUUUUUAUUUCAUAUUAAAGAUGAUCACAAAAUAAA